rnacentral:rRNA from 1 species
UACGUAGGGGGCGAGCGUUGUUCGGAAUUACUGGGCGUAAAGCGCGUGUAGGCGGUUGCCCAAGUCGGGUGUGAAAGCCUUGAGCUCAACUCAAGAAAUGCACUCGGUACUGGGUGACUAGAGGACCGGAGAGGAUAGUGGAAUUCCCAGUGUAGUGGUGAAAUACGUAGAGAUUGGGAAGAACACCAGUGGCGAAGGCGGCUAUCUGGACGGUUUCUGACGCUAAGACGCGAAAGCGUGGGGAGCAAACAGG